AGGAAUAUUGCUCAAUGGGAGAAAUCCUGAAGCAGCAACGCCGCGUGGAGGAUGAAGGGUCUAUGACUUGUAAACUCCUGUAAAGAAGGAAAAAAUUCCCAUUUGAUGGGAGAUGAUGGUACUUCUGGAGUAAGCCCCGGCUAACUACGUGCCAGCAGCCGCGGUAAUACGUAGGGGGCAAGCGUUGUCCGGAUUUACUGGGUGUAAAGGGUGCUCAGGCGGAUUUGUAAGUCAGAGGUGAAAUCUUACAGCUUAACUGUGAAACUGCCUCUGAUACUGCAAGCCUAGAGUAUGGAAGAGAGUGAUGGAAUAUCUGGUGUAGCAGUGAAAUGCGUAGAUAUCAGAUAGAACACCAAUGGCGAAGGCAGUCACUUGGUCCAUUACUGACGCUAAAGCACGAAAGCGUGGGUAGCAAACA
rnacentral:rRNA from 1 species